GCGAGUGAAGCGGGAAGAGCUCAAAUUUGUAAUCUGGCGUCUUUCAGGCGUCCGAGUUGUAAUCUAUAGAAGUGUUUUCCGUGCUGGACCAUGUCCAAGUCCCUUGGAACAGGGUAUCAAAGAGGGUGACAAUCCCGUACUUGAUAUGGCCACCAGUGCUCUGUGAUACACUUUCUACGAGUCGAGUUGUUUGGGAAUGCAGCUCAAAAUGGGUGGUAAAUUCCAUCUAAAGCUAAAUAUUGGCGAGAGACCGAUAGCGAACAAGUACCGUGAGGGAAAGAUGAAAAGCACUUUGGAAAGAGAGUUAAACAGUACGUGAAAUUGUUGAAAGGGAAACGAUUGAAGUCAGUCGUGUUCAUUGGACUCAGCCGGUUCUUCCGGUCUAUUUCCUUUGAACGGGUCAACAUCAGUUUUGUCCGGUGGAUAAAGGCAGAGAGAAAGUGGCUCCCUCGGGAGUGUUAUAGCUUUUUGUCACAUACACUGGAGGAGACUGAGGACUGCAGCUCGCCUUUUGGCCGGGGUUCGCCCACGUUCGAGCUUAGGAUGUUGACAUAAUGGCUUUAAACGACCC
rnacentral:rRNA from 1 species